UACGGGGGGGGCAAGCGUUGUUCGGAAUUACUGGGCGUAAAGGCUCGUAGGCGGCCAACUAAGUCAGACGUGAAAUCCCUCGGCUUAACCGGGGAACUGCGUCUGAUACUGGAUGGCUUGAGUUUGGGAGAGGGAUGCGGAAUUCCCGGUGUAGCGGUGAAAUGCGCAGAUAUCGGGAGGAACACCAGUAGCGAAGGCGGCUCGCUGGGCCAUUCCUGACGCUGAGACGCGAAAGCUAGGGGAGCGAACAGG
rnacentral:rRNA from 1 species